GGCGCGCGAGGGCCUCAGGGUGCAGCGGGCUGGGAGGAGCGCGUGCUGGGCUGGGUCCCGGGCCGGGCGGGGCUCUAGGGCAACUUUUUGGUUGGUUGCAGCCGGGCGCUGAUCGCCCAGGCCCCUUUUAAGCUGGGUGUCUCCGGCUGUCUCUCCCCUUUCUGCCUCCGCGCGCGACUCGGUAAGUGGCUUUCGACCAGCUCGACGCUAGGGCCCUCCGCGUGGCCCGGGGGUCUCUCCAGGGGCACUAACCAGGAGCGCCCCCCCCCCCGUCCGCGCGUCCGCCCCAUGCGGGCGGCUAGGGCUAGUGUUCGACCUCAGCUCGGCUCCCCCUCAGAGAGGCCUCCCAGGCCCCAGGGGAGCCGCUGUGAGAGCUCUUCUGCGGCGAGGACAUCCUCAGGGUACCGGGGACCCUUCCUCCCCAGAAAUAACGCUCUUGGCGCCUAAAGUCCCUCUUUCCCCCAGGGGCCGAGGCGCGCGUCACUUGUGCCUGGGACCCCGAUGCUCAAGGGAUCCGGGCCACAUGGAGCUUCAAGCUCCUUUUGCAAUGAAAAGAGAAAAACAAGACUCUUGGAGAAUGGAACCGACCCGGGGCGGAGGCGCAGAGCCCUGGACGGUGUCCCGAGUUGGGGCGCACGCGGGGCCCCCGCCUGCCCGUGGGCUUUGAGGACCCUGAUACGGUCUAUUUAGGAAGCGGAUGAGAUCACGGGCCUGAAACACUUUAGGCUUCGGGGCAGAGCAGUGUUAAUUCCGGUGUUAGCAAGAAACGGAGGUAAUUUCGCACACACUGACAUUCCCCCUCCGCAGAUGCCUCAGUUGCCACUUCGCUCUGUGGUUGGGCUCCUUAAAAGGCCUGCGUGACUCUCGUGGGAGCGGUUAGCUGCUGUGAGCCUUGAUGAGGGAGCAAUUUUCUCCCCCCCAGUCACCUUUUCAGCAUUGACAGUGCGUUAUGCAGCAGGGGACCCUCUUCCAUAACGUGUGUGGGGUCUCAUGAGUGUGAGGCCCGUCAUCGUUUUCUGGCCUGAAAAAAAGUCGGAACCUUUGGGGUUCUGACUUGUGUUCGCCAAGAUAAACAGGAAAAAUGGCCCUAGAGAAAGUUUGUCUCGAGGAAGCGUUUGUAAUUUUCACUCUGGUCCUCAGCAUUAGAGGGCUUACUUUUUUUUUUUUUUUUUAAAUAGAGGGCAUUUUAAGUGUUAUACCGGUAUACAUUCCUAUCGAAAGCGUUACUCUCCGGAUUUAAUAAAAUUUGUCAAGAUUUCAAUUUAUAGCUGAGUGAAUGAAGGAAUCGUUAUCGUUGGUUACCGCUUAGUAAUCUCUUGAAAUGGGAGACUUGUGGGAUGUUUACAUGUUUGCCUCAGUGGUGAGAGGCCCUUUUACUGAUCAGAAAGGAUCUGAUUUUCCUGAUGCGAGCUGUGACCUAAGCACGCCCCGCCCCCCACGCCCUUUUUUUAAAAAACCGUUCCCUCUGGGAGAGGGACAUGGCUGAAAGCCAGUGUCUAUUUAAGGACUGUGGGAACUGAGCAAGUGUUGACAGGGCUGUUCUCAUUUCAGUGGCCUCUGCCUCCGCCUCUGUACACUAGUUUCAGGAUUCCUUGUUUUUUAAAUGUGAAGAGUUUGUUUCCAUCUUUCAUAGGUAAAUACUGUUACCAGUAAUGUUUAUAUUUUUUCCCCAAGUUAAUUGUUCCAUGCUAGUGUAACAAGGAGGUAAAGUGAGAAAGAUGGUGACUGCUGCCGCCCAGGGUGUCUCCUGGCUGGGAAUUUCAGGACAUUCCCAGUGUCAGGAAGUUGGGAAAAUAUUGCUGUUUUACAGGAAUUCUACUCAAAGUUAGCUCUUUAGUCACCAAAGGUAAAUAGCCCAAUAAGAUACUCUUUACCAAAAAAAAGACAAAAUGCCCAAAACAAUAUUGUAAUUAUCCUCCAAUUAAAAUAAGUAAAAUUUUUUUAAAAUUAGUGAUAUUCUUAACAUUGUUUUUCUCUUUCCUACCAGGCUGACAAGAUGUUGACAAGCUUAAGGGCUGGUGCUUGAAAGAAGCUCUUCGAGGAGAUAAGGUGUAUUUGAACAUGUGAUGAUUGAUAUAUACAGAAUAGAGCUUUUUGCUAAUUGUCCUUUUCAUGGUGGUAGCAAGGGUGAAUUUUAGGAAAAAAAACUGCCAAGUAUCUGUAAGAAUAUAUAUCUAUCUGCCCUGUAGAGAAUUUUUGGCAGAAUUCAAUUCCAUUAUAUUUUUCUGCCAUCCAGCCUGAAUCUUGACACAGUAGCUAGACUAACUAUUCUACAACUAUCUUAAGAGAACUUGGCUAGCUGCUUUAAUUUACAAAGGUUAUUUUUAAAUCCCAUUCUUUUGCCUAUGCUUUUGUGCUUGCAGUUUUGUCUAAUCAUUUUGAUGAUUAAAUUUGACCCCUUGAAUAGAGGACAGAUCAGUUGAGGAGUUUGUUGCAUAGCAUUUUGAGGGUAGGGGCUGAGGAACUGUUCUACACUUUGAUUAUAGUGGUAAUUACAUCUGUCAGAAAUUUUGAGUGAGUUUUACUGAAUGUAAAUUCAAUUUCAAUAAAUAUGACUUAAAAACUUUC